UGUCCAUGGUCCUCAUUCUGGCUACUGCCCCAAAUUUGAAUAUAUUAAAUUAGUGUAAGAACUAAAUGCAAAGAGGACUAAAAAGGAUGAAUAAGCAAUAUUAAACACUUUUCAUGGUCUGUCAUUGUAGCCUUACCUCAUCUCCACACUGUGAGGUUUCAGCUUCAAGAGCUCCACAACUGGGCAAGGCUGGGGAGGGUCCCUUUUCGACUCGGUGUUCCGGUUGAAAACCGGACGCCUCUUGGAAAGGCUUCUCAGGUCCAGCAUGGAAUUUCUUCUCUCGAGACAAGAGAGAACCUGGGUCUCCUGCAUCCCAGCUGUUCUUCAUCAACCCUGGAAUUCUGAGAUGUACAGGACAGAGCUCUGGGAAUGGAGAAGUUUAGCUUAUAUGUCUAAAUUAGUUGCAGAGGGCCAAAUUCCUCUCUGUUGCAGAGGUAACUCCUUCUACUUAAUUCACGUCUUUCUGGAUUUACACCAGUAACUGAUAUCGGAAUCUGGUCCUAAACUUCUGUGUGACAUGGGCCAAGUCAUUUAACUUUUUUAUUGUUCAAUUUACCCAUCUGUAAACUGGGAACAACAAUUGCCUAUCUCAUGGGGUGUCUUGAGGCUUAAUUAAUGCCUGUUUAUAGAGACUUUGAGAUCCUUGGAUAGAAGGUGCUAAGGAAGAGUUAAGUAUAACAAUGCCCUGGAAAAACAAAAUGGUAAAAAGACACAGAGAACUGAAAUAAUUCACACUUAUCACAAAAGCCUUGCAAACAACUUGAUUUAUGCAACUUCUGAACCCCACCCUGUUCAGCCCUAUAAAGGGUUAAAACAGCAGCAGCUGGCCUCAAGAACUCUGGCUUGCCUGGUCCUUAUCUCACUGUUAUCCUGAGCUAUUAACUGGCCACAGUUACGAAACAUAUCAGUUACUGCCAUCUGUUUUUCAGGAGGCACUCAUUGGAUCAUGGCCAGCAGAGGGGAUUAAGUGGAGAGAGGCAGAAAUGACAAAAUGAUUCUAUAGUAUUCUGGUUGUACAGUUGGAGUCCCUCAUACUGUUACUUGCAUGUACAGUCUGCAGUCAGCAACAGCUGCAAAGAAUUAAGCGUAAAGAUAAACUGUGAAGACUGUUUCAAAGCUGCUAUAAAGGAAAUGCAUUUCUGCAUGCAUUUGUAACAUGGGGAUUGUGCAGAGAGAAGUGAAGGUAUAUAAAGCAAAAAUGUAUAAGUAGAUGUAUGUGUGAUGUGUAUUUUAGCUUUUUAUAUUUGGUAUUUAUCACUCUGUGUGUGCGUGUUUUGGCCCCCCACAAGAAACAAAAGCAAUAGAUUCUGAAUGUAUUAAUUCAAAGGAAAAUUCUAUGAAUGAGUUGAAUAAAACUUCUCCUUAGCAACAUUCUUUCUUUUGUACCCUCCCCUCAUACAAUUUAUGAUCCAGAUUCUUUUUAAAUAGCAAAGAGACAAAUUAGAGACUGCUUGUGAAAGCGAAGGCGUGAAUUUCAGCACAAAUUAUCUGUGCUUCAAAACAUACUGUGAGAUUUUUGGCAAUUAAUAAUUGACUGGGCUUUAAAAAUAUUCUCUUUCACAAAUGAUAGACCAUCUCAUGAUAAAGGGAGAAAGGAAGAGUUUUCAGUGUGAUUCCUGGGAUUCAAGAAACAUUAUGGUUCAACAGCUGUACUUUUGAUUCUGAAUUUUAUUAAAAUCAGAUUAAUUAAAUUAUUCCAAAUGAUGCCAUUCUGCCAGAAUAAAGCUCUUUGGCUUUU